rnacentral:rRNA from 1 species
GAUUAAACUAUAGAGUUUGAUCCUGGCUCAGAUUGAACGCUGGCGGCAUGCCUUACACAUGCAAGUCGAACGGCAGCACGGGAGCAAUCCUGGUGGCGAGUGGCGAACGGGUGAGUAAUAUAUCGGAACGUGCCCAGUCGUGGGGGAUAACGUAGAGAAAUUUACGCUAAUACCGCAUACGAUCUAAGGAUGAAAG